rnacentral:misc_RNA from 1 species
AAGUCGUAACAAGGUUUCCGUAGGUGAACCUGCGGAAGGAUCAUUAAAAGGAAAGAAAGAUAGUAUAUAUAUAAAACAGGGAGAAAGAUAGAAUGGUGAUAGUGUUUCAUUAUCACACAAAAUAUAAAAACACAAAACACAACUGCUACCAAUGGAUCACUUGGUUCUC